ACAGCCGGCGAUCAUUCGCAUCUUACUCGCUUGCCUUGUUCUUGUGAAUUGUGAUACCUACGUACUGUUUUCGAUAUCCUUCUAUUGUUUUAACCCUGGCUUUGUUUACGGACUGAUAACUACGACUAUUUUGUGCGCUCGACAUCUGGACACCGAUAUUGCUUCUUGGAUUGGAUUGUUUGUGAAAGACAUCAUGGAGUCCUCACAAUAAGCUCUGCUAUUGCAAUGUGUUAAUUGUAACAUUCGCAUUGAGACAUUUCGUCGUCAUCUCGUUCUUAAUCUUGAUACGAGAGUGAUUUCUACGAUCUGCGAGUGGAAUCCUUUAAUAAUAAUCACCGAGGAAGAUUACAUAUGUGAUGCCUGCAACCAAUUGGCAAUGCAAUAUGUCAACUCGCCUCAUCCUCUCGUAGCCACAUACAUGUUAGUUACACUUUGUGGGUGUUCUUUGCGGAAUCGCAAACGCGACCGCAUUGUGAGAGAGAAUCCAUCUCGCUUACAACAAUCAAUACAUAUAGAAUUUGAAAAUAGAAUAGCUCCACGCCCGGCAACCUCAUCAGACAUGUCAUGCAUGUUGGUUAUGACUCAAAAGGGCUGCAAUGCGCAAUAUGCAAUAAGAUAUUGAGCAAGCACAACCAGUGCCAGAGUUAGAGCCUCCACCCCAAGAACCUCAAAGCCCUCCUAACAUUGAGGAGCAUGGUGAUGAACCUACAUUAAUUAGUUUACCACAUUAUAGACGAGCGGUAAUACUGCAGCACAUUGUGUUUUUUCUGGCUGCCAAACCAGAGAUCUACAUAGGAUCUCUGAGCCAGCACAAAUAUUACUUGCCUAUAAAUGCUUGUAUUUACAUUGAACAUACAUUUAGUACAGAUUGGGAUAUGCUGUACAAUUCAGAAAAUAGUACAUUUACGGCUCAACAAAUAGAACAUGCUUUUUCUCUUAUCAAUGCUUCGAACACAUUUUUAGAUUUUUCAAGUAUGGAAACUAUUCAAAGAAUUGAUGAGAAUUUAUUUCAUUACUGGCUUGGAAUGAGUAAAGCUCAAUUUGAGCGGAUAUUAUAUGAAAUUCCUCGACUCAUUGAAGCACAUAGAGGCAUUUUGGGCUUAGGAGCACUUUUAAUAAAGAUGAGAACUGGUGACUCAGAUGAACACUUAUCCCAAUUAUUAAUGGUUCCAAGGUGAACCUUAGAAAGACUAAUGGACUCAGUUAGAGAAAUAUUAGUGCAGGAUUUUGUUCCUAGAAAUCUGGGACUGCAACACAUAUCUCGACAGCAAUUGUUGCAACAUAAUUUGAUGAUACCAAAUGCAAUUUAUAAAGAAAUAAUGAAAAUACAAUAAUUAUAUGUGAUGGCCUACAUUUAUAUAAAUAAAAGUUCAAAUUAUAUGUUCCAAAAGGACACAUAUUCAUUACAUAAAUAUAAAAACUUGUAAAAACCAUUUUUGCUGGUGGCUCCUGAUGGCUAUAUUGUAGAUUGCUUUGGCCCAUACAAACCUACCACAUCUGAUGCAGAUAUAAUGAAGUCUCUUUUCAGAGAUGAAAACUUUUCUCUCAGACAAUACUUUCAAAACAAUAAUAUUUUUGUUCUAGACAGGGGAUUUAGAGAUUCAAUUCAUUUGUUAGAUGCUUGCAACUUUAAAACAUAUAUGCCAGAUUCGCUGCUUGAGGGUGAACAUCAGCUAACCACUGAACAAGCAAAUAGGAGUCGCUGCGUGACCAUAUGCCGUUGGGUAGUAGAAGUAGUUAAUGGCUACUUCAAACGAGACUACAAAAUAUUUAGACAAGAUUUCUUUAAUAAAUCUGUACCCCAUAUGAUGCAAAUGUUCAGUAUAGCUGCAAGCCUCUUAAAUAAAUUCGGUGUUCGAUUAAAAAAUAGGAAUGAUGCUGAACAAAUUAUUAACCUUAUUAGGGAACCAUUUCCAUUAAAAAUAAUAAUAUUUCUGAUUAUGUAAAUAUGAUAAACCAUCAUCAUGAAUAGAAAAUCAUCUGAUUUUACUAGUAUUUCAGCUCAUUCCAAUAAUAAUUUUAUAUUUCCCCAUCUAGAAUAUAGUGAAAUAAUAUUAUUUGCCUUAGGAACAUACCAGAUCCGACAAGCAAGAUCCUAUUAUAGUGAACAUACAAGGUUUCAUGGAGGAUAUAGAAUUGAAAUAAGCAAAGAAAACAUAAAUGUUUUAGAGUAUGGUUUGAGAGGAAGCGGUAAUAAUUCUCUAAUAAAAGGUAAAAUUAAAUCCAAACACAUUUCAAACAAAAUAUACUAUGUUUAUAUAUUAAUUGAAAAUAAUGAGUCUGGAAGAAAAGCUAUACUAGAAUAUUGCUGUAAUUGUUUAGUUGGAAGAAGAACGGUUGGGGGCUGUGCACAUUUAAUGACAUUGGUGUGGUAUCUCGGGUGGGCUAGGUAUCAGCCCACAAUAUUCCUUGAUGCUGUAGUUGUAAGAGAGAAUUAUGAAUAAAGAGUUUAUAUCAA